rnacentral:rRNA from 1 species
AGAGUUUGAUCCUGGCUCAGAUUGAACGCUGGCGGAAUGCUUUACACAUGCAAGUCGAACGGCAGCACGGGAGCUUGCUCCUGGUGGCGAGUGGCGAACGGGUGAGUAAUGCGUCGGAACGUACCGAGUAAUGUGGGAUAACGCAGCGAAAGUUGUGCUAAUACCGCAUACGCCCUGAGGGGGAAAGUGGGGGAUCGUAAGACCUCACGUUAUUCGAGCGGCCGACGUCUGAUUAGCUAGUUGGUGAGGUAAUGGCUCACCAAGGCGACGAUCAGUAGCGGGUCUGAGAGGAUGAUCCGCCACACUGGGACUGAGACACGGCCCAGACUCCUACGGGAGGCAGCAGUGGGAAUUUUGGACAAUGGGGGCAACCCUGAUCCAGCCAUUCCGCGUGAGUGAAGAAGGCCUUCGGGUUGUAAAGCUCUUUCAGCUGGAACGAAACGGUAGAGGCUAAUACCCUCUGCUAAUGACGGUACCGGCAGAAGAAGCACCGGCUAACUACGUGCCAGCAGCCGCGGUAAUACGUAGGGUGCGAGCGUUAAUCGGAAUUACUGGGCGUAAAGCGUGCGCAGGCGGAUUGUUAAGCAAGACGUGAAGUCCCCGGGCUUAACCUGGGAAUGGCGUUUUGAACUGGCAGUCUAGAGUGUGUCAGAGGGGGGUGGAAUUCCACGUGUAGCAGUGAAAUGCGUAGAGAUGUGGAGGAACACCAAUGGCGAAGGCAGCCCCCUGGGAUAACACUGACGCUCAUGUACGAAAGCGUGGGUAGCAAACAGGAUUAGAUACCCUGGUAGUCCACGCCCUAAACGAUGUCAACUGGUUGUUGGGGGAGUGAAAUCCCUUAGUAACGAAGCUAACGCGUGAAGUUGACCGCCUGGGGAGUACGGUCGCAAGAUUAAAACUCAAAGGAAUUGACGGGGACCCGCACAAGCGGUGGAUGAUGUGGAUUAAUUCGAUGCAACGCGAAAAACCUUACCUACCCUUGACAUGUCCAGAAUCCUGCAGAGAUGCGGGAGUGCCCGAAAGGGAAUUGGAACACAGGUGCUGCAUGGCUGUCGUCAGCUCGUGUCGUGAGAUGUUGGGUUAAGUCCCGCAACGAGCGCAACCCUUAUCAUUAGUUGCUACGCAAGGGCACUCUAAUGAGACUGCCGGUGACAAACCGGAGGAAGGUGGGGAUGACGUCAAGUCCUCAUGGCCCUUAUGGGUAGGGCUUCACACGUCAUACAAUGGUCGGUACAGAGGGUUGCCAAGCCGCGAGGUGGAGCCAAUCCCAGAAAGCCGAUCGUAGUCCGGAUUGUUCUCUGCAACUCGAGAGCAUGAAGUCGGAAUCGCUAGUAAUCGCGGAUCAGCAUGUCGCGGUGAAUACGUUCCCGGGUCUUGUACACACCGCCCGUCACACCAUGGGAGUGGAAUCUGCCAGAAGUAGGUAGCCUAACCGCAAGGAGGGCGCUUACCACGGUGGGUUUCAUGACUGGGGUGAAGUCGUAACAAGGUA